rnacentral:tRNA from 1 species
GGCGCCAUCAUCUAACGGCUUAGGAUAGAGGGUUUUCAGCCCUUUCAUUCGGGUUCGAUUCCCGAUGGCGUCA